UAACGACUGAACCAGCGCUUGGGGGAAUGUUAAUAUGUGAAACAUAUGUUGAUUUAUUCAAUUAAAGUUCUAGGCAGGUUAAUGAUAAUGACAAUUACCUGUCUAUAAGUCUUGACCAAAUCUUGUGCCAGCUGUCGCGGCAAGACGAGAAAGGCUGCGUUAUUCAUCUUUAAUAGGUUUAAAGGGUACCUAGACGGUAAAUUAACUAAAAUAAAUUAAAGUAAUUUACUAGAGUUAAUAUACUAAGAGGUUAGAAUUGAUGGAGGUAGAGAUAAUAUUUAUUGAUACCAUGAAGGACUGGUAAAAGCGAAGGCAAUCCUUUAGUAUUAACUGACGUUGAGGGACGAAGGCUCGGGUAGCAAACAGGAUUAGAUACCCUAAUAGUCCGGGCAGAGAAUUAUGAGUGCCAUAGACCUGUGUUAGGUCUAUAAAUGAAAGUGUAAGCAUUCCACCUCAAGAGUAAUGUGGCAACGCUGGAACUGAAAUCAUUAGACCGUUUCUGAAACCAGUAGUGAAGUAUGUUAUUUAAUUCGAUAAUCCACGAAGAACCUUACCACAACUUCCUUGAUUAUUUAUAAUAGUAAUAUAGAACAAGUGUUGCACGGCUGUCUCAAGUUAAUAUCGUGAGAGAGAGAUUAUUACAUCCUAAAAAUUAACGUAAACCCGUUAUUUUAUUUGGUGUAAUAAAAU
rnacentral:rRNA from 1 species